GAGGAUGCGAGCGUUAUCCGGAUUUAUUGGGUUUAAAGGGUGCGUAGGCGGAAGUUCAAGUCAGCGGUAAAAUCGAGGGGCUCAACCCCUUUAAGCCGUUGAAACUGGGUUUCUUGAGUGGGCGAGAAGUGUGCGGAAUGUGUGGUGUAGCGGUGAAAUGCAUAGAUAUCACACAGAACUCCGAUUGCGAAGGCAGCACACCGGCGCCCGACUGACGCUGAGGCACGAAAGCGUGGGGAUCAAA
rnacentral:rRNA from 1 species